rnacentral:rRNA from 1 species
AUUGAACGCUGGCGGCAGGCCUAACACAUGCAAGUCGAACGGUAACAGGAAGCAGCUUGCUGCUUCGCUGACGAGUGGCGGACGGGUGAGUAAUGUCUGGGAAACUGCCUGAUGGAGGGGGAUAACUACUGGAAACGGUAGCUAAUACCGCAUAACGCCGCAAGACCAAAGAGGGGGACCUUCGGGCCUCUUGCCAUCGGAUGUGCCCAGAUGGGAUUAGCUAGUAGGUGGGGUAACGGCUCGCCUAGGCGACGAUCCCUAGCUGGUCUGAGAGGAUGACAAGCCACACUGGAACUGAGACACGGUCCAGACUCCUACGGGAGGCAGCAGUGGGGAAUAUUGCACAAUGGGCGCAAGCCUGAUGCAGCCAUGCCGCGUGUAUGAAGAAGGCCUUCGGGUUGUAAAGUACUUUCAGCGGGGAGGAAGGCGAUAAGGUUAAUAACCUUGUCGAUUGACGUUACCCGCAGAAGAAGCACCGGCUAACUCCGUGCCAGCAGCCGCGGUAA